rnacentral:rRNA from 1 species
CACGUAGGGCGCAAGCGUUGUCCGGAAUUAUUGGGCGUAAAGAGCUCGUAGGCGGUCUGUUACGUCUGCUGUGAAAACCCAGGGCUUAACCCUGGGCUUGCAGUGGAUACGGGCAGACUAGAGGCAGGUAGGGGAGAAUGGAAUUCCCGGUGUAGCGGUGAAAUGCGCAGAUAUCGGGAGGAACACCAGUGGCGAAGGCGACUUCCUGGCCUGUUCUUGACGCUGAGGCGCGAAAGCUAGGGGAGCAAACGGG